GACCUAAUGGUGUAAGGUUGCACACCCACUCUCUUUGCGAUGACGAAACCAAGGUAAUGAAGUGGGAGGUCCCGGUUCGAAUCCGGGUUAGGUCA